rnacentral:RNase_MRP_RNA from 1 species
GGGCAUUCGGAAGGCUUGCAAUCUGGGCUACAUACGGAGAACAUGUUUCUCGGUUUCCGCCCAGGGGAAAGUCCCCGGACUCGAGGCAGAAAGUGCCCUGGAUGAUUCCAGCGUCAGCUCGCGCUUCGCCACUCUGGAGCUGAGACGUUCGCCCGGACUGAGCUCGGUGAUCGCACAGUUGACUUUGUCAGCACCUACAGGAAUGCAAGUGAGCGACACGUACCGCCGCAACAGAACGGGGCUCAUUCUCGGAAUGCA